ACUAAAUAGAUACCCCGGGUAGUCCCAGCUGUAAACGAUGCAGGCUAGGUGUUUGGACGGCCACGUGCCGUUCUAGUGCCGCAGGGAAGCUGUUAAGCCUGCCGCCUGGGGAGUACGAUCGCAAGAUUGAAACUUAAAGGAAUUGGCGGGGGAGCACCACAAGGGGUGAAGCUUGCGGUUUAAUUGGAGUCAACGCCGGAAAUCUCACCGGGAGCGACAGCAGUGUGAAAGCCAGAUUAAAGGUCUUGCUAGACGAGCUGAGAGGAGGUGCAUGGCCGUCGCCAGUUCGUGCCGUGAGGUGUCCUGUUAAGUCAGGCAACGAUCGAGACCCGCAUCCUCUGUUGCAACCAGCUUUGUGCUGGGCACACUGAGGAGACCGCCACUGAUAAAGUGGAGGAAGGAGCGGGCCACGGCAGGUCAGUAUGCCCCGAAUCUCCCGGGCCACACGCGAGCUGCAAUGGCAGGUACAAUGGUUCCGACCUCGAAAGGGGUAGGCAAUCUCGAAAGCCUGCCGUAGUUGGGAUCGA
rnacentral:rRNA from 1 species